CCUUAGUAACUGCGAGUGAAGUGGGAAAAGCUCAAAUUUAAAAUCUGGCAGUUUUUAACUGUUCGAAUUGUAAUCUAGAGAAGUAUUAUCUAUUCUGGACCAUAUAUAAGUCUCCUGGAAUGGGGCAUCAUAGAGGGUGAGAAUCCCGUCUUUAAUAUGGACUACCAGUAUGUUAUGAUAUGCUCUCAACGAGUCGAGUUGUUUGGGAAUGCAGCUCUAAAUGGGUGGUAAAUUCCAUCUAAAGCUAAAUAUUGGCGAGAGACCGAUAGUAAACAAGUACCGUGAGGGAAAGAUGAAAAGAACUUUGGAAAGAGAGUUAAACAGUACGUGAAAUUGUUGAAAGGGAAACGCUUAAAGUCAGUCACAUUGAUCAGGGAUCAAUCUUGCUUUUUGCUUGAUGUAUUUUCUGAUUAAUGGGUCAGCAUCAAUUUUGAUCAGUGGAAAAAGGCAGAGAAAAUGUGGCAUCUUUUGAUGUGUUAUAGUUCUUUGUCAUAUCCAUUGAUUGAAAUUGAGGAACUCAGCAUGCCGCAAGGCCAGGUUUUAAUCAUGUUCAUGCUUAG
rnacentral:rRNA from 1 species